ACAUUUUAUUUUAUUACUAUUAAUUUCAAAAAAAUAUAUUUUUUAAAAACUAGAGAAUUUCUGAUGAAUAAAAUUCUGCAGUAAUAAAAAAAUACAUGUAAAAUAAUUUAAAAAAUUCAAUUAAAUAAAGUAAAAUUAAAAUAAAGUGCAAUUGAAAACAUUAUACAUAACAUUGAACUUGCUAUUUAACAGAACUAGAUCUUACUCUCCCUACCUGUGACAAAUGAACAGUAACAAUAAUCACAACACCCCGCAACUUUUAUUAUUUUAAGUGUCUCACACUGGCUAAGGUCAUCGAGGUAGUUCGCAAGCUCAUUGGGGGCAGGGCAGCAAGAGUGGAUGAGAUCCACCCUGAGUACCUCAAGUCAAUGUUGUGGGGCUGUCCUGGGUGACACGCCUCUGCAACGUCGUACAGACGAUGGGUACAGUUCCUCUGGACUGGACAACCAGGGAGGUUGUUCCUCUUGGGGACAGGAGAGUGUGAUCAAGCUUCUCAGCCUCCCUGGGAAAGUCUAUGCCAGGGUACUGGAGAGGAGAAUUCGGUCGAUAGUCGAACCUUGGAUACAGGAAGAACAAUGUGGUUUUCGACCUGGUCUUGGAACACUGGACCAGCUCUAUACCCUCACCAGUUUACAUGUUUUUUGGACUUGGAGAAGGCAUUUGACUGCGUCCCUUGUAGAAUUAUGUGUGGGAGCACUGGUCUCUUUACAACCACAGCAGGAGCUUGGUUUGCAUUGCCGGCAGUAAGUCAGACCUGUUCCCGGGGCAUGUGGACUUCGGCAAGGCUGCCCUUUGUCACCGGUUCUGUUCAUUGUUUUUAUGGACAAAAUUUAUAGGCGGUUUGGGGACCACGGGAUUGCAUCUCUACAUUUUGCAGAUGAUGAUGUCCUGUUGGCUUCAUUGGGCCAGGCCCUCCAGCGCGCACUGUGGCGUUUUGCAGCUGAGUGCGAAGCAGCUGGGAUGAGAAUCAGUUCUUGGAGGGACUAUGUUUCUCGGCUGGGCUGGGAAUGCCUUGGAGUCCCACCGGUAGAACUGGAGGAAAUGUCCUGAGAGAGGGAAGUUUGGAGUUUGCUUAGACUGUGGCCCCUGCUACCUGGCCCCGGAUGAAGCGGUUGAAAAUGGAUGGAUGGACAUACAUUAUAAAUACAUUUUUAUGCCAAAAUGAACAAAACUAUAAGACAAAUAUGAUACAUACUGUAACUUUUUCAUGGUUUAUGAAUUAUUUACAAGUGUGCUUUCACCCAUUUGUGUCAGACUUGAGGCAGGCGGCGGACCCACAUGCACAGCACAGAGGCGCGAUGAUAGUUAAACACAGAUUUAUUUUCCAAGGCCAGGUCAGACGGUCCAGGUCAUACACACAAAAGGCUCAGCGAUAAAGAACAAAGGGGAGCAGGCAAUCUCGAGUCCGGUAUACAAGCAGGGUUCGUUACACAGGAGGUCUCGGCAAAGGUACAGGCAGGGAUGAAGCAAACUUACGGUCAGAUAGUUAGUCCAGGUUCAGGCAGGAAACGACGGUCAAAGCAAACGGGAACAAUAAACGAGGAACACGGACACGAAACACUGGAACGAGGAAACUCAGGAAACUCGGGAAACUCAAGGAACUCAACAAUCUGGCAAGGGACUAUGGGAACAGGAGCUAACUAAAUACACAGAACUGAGCGCGAUGAGGGUAAAUCCGGAUCUGGACUCCUUUCCCACCAUCAGCAGAAGAACCGAAGGAGAAGAAGCGCCUGUCCAACAACCAGAACAGGGUGGAAGCUCUGACACCACAGCAGGUGGAGGACACACACACCACAGCAUGGACGCCUCAGCGACUCUCACAACGUCUGCAGCCAUCACGUUCUGGGCUCAUCAGAUGAACCAGCUACUACAAGCGUGUGUGUCUGACACAGACACCUGCUUAUGACAAUCAGCAAAGGAAAACAAGGACAGAGCAACAGCACAGUGAGAAGACGUGCUCUGACACGGACACUGGUUGAAACAACAGGAGAGGCUUCAGACGUGAUCGGCCCAAUAGAGCUGCAUCUGAGGAUCCAGGAAAGGUCUGUCAUCGAGGAACAACUGUCCCAUCGAAAGGCUUCACCCACUGGCGCUCACAUGAGACUGAUGGUUGGGGAAGGAGGAAGGUGACGGUUCCUUUUCACGUGACGUACAAGACGGUACCGCAAACACACACACACACAUUCAUACACGCAAUGAAGAAACACGCUUACAGCUGAUACACGCUCAAAUUCAUGUUCAUGCUUAUCUGCUCGCAAUGAAGAAUCGCUUUUUGCUCAAAAAAAAAUCCCACAGAGUGAUUUUACAAUGAUGACAAACAGCUAAACGACAACUGCUGCAUGACUUUGCAGUCUGAUGGGUUUAAACUAUUUUAACUUGCAACAAAUUCAGUAAUAAAAUCCUUCAUGUUUCUAAAAAUACUUGUGCACAAUAUAGGUUUGUCUGGCCAGACUAGAAGAAAACAAAACAGACUAUAGGAAGACUGAAACACACUCAAACUGACCUCAACUUCCCUCUAUUGGGAUGAACACAGGUCUGCGCUUGCGAUUUUUUUUCCUAACGAACAAAAAGAUUUUUGAUUUUUAUUCUACAGUUCCACACGUCCCUCUGUGAAAACAUGAUGGAGACAGAUGACAGGACGUGGGUCCUUUCGUGAACAGAUGUCAACGGGGUGGAGACUGGUGAACGACUUCUGACCCCAUGUGACGUAUUUACCUACUUUGCAUACUUUUAGAAAACUUUUUUUUAUUCUGCCUGUCAUGUGCAGCAAACAGUGAACUGGGUACCUCCACAUUCUAAUGACACACUACAUGUUUUUAUUUUCAUUUUUCAGAGGACGCUCUGACCCAACACUCAGCCUUACAGGAAGCCCUGCUUCCCUGUGGCUCACACACAGACAUGAUGUAGGUUCAAUCAGAGGAUGUGAACCAGUGGUCAUCACACCUAAAUCUGACCACAGACCAUGUAAACAACAACACCCUCUUAAAGGAGCCAUAGAUGGCGUUACUGCAGACACCACUAAGCUACUGAAACAUUGGAUGCUACAGGCCACAAAGAGAGCCUGUCUAAAUUACAGUUAGUUCAGACUAAGGUUAUUUUCUGGGUCAUUGUAAUUACAGCUGAUGGCAAAUCCAUCUCACCCAACAGAGUUAAAGCAAUUUGAGACCUGCCUAAACCGUGCACGUAAAAACAGCUGAUGUCUUUUCUAGGUCUUUGUUCUUAUUGUAGGAACUUCAUUCCUAACUUUACUGUCUUUGAGGCCCCACUCAGGGUUCUGAUGCAGACGUCUUCAUCGUCCACUUCUUGUCUCACGUGGACGUCUGAGGCUGAACAACGUUCACCGACCUCAAGCUUGCUCUUCAGUCGGCUCCUACUUUGGGUCUUUCUGAUCUGACCCUACGCGACCUUUCACUCAAACAGUGGAUGAGAAAUCAGGUUGUACGACUUCUGUUCUUUUGUCCUCAUACUGUUUUUGAUUCUUUUGGAAUAGAUCACAUCUUUCUACAGUUUGAUGGCUUAGAUGCAACACCACCUUGCUCAACAUGCUGAACGUUACUAUCAAGAGUCCGUCUUGAAGUCUGGCUUUUUGCUAAGACACUACUCUGCUCAGGCUGCAGAGUUGAUCGUAUUGACUGAAGCUAGUAAACUAGCAGAAGGAGAGUGUGUUACCAUCUACACAGACUCCACAGAUGCUUGUGACACUUUGGUUCUCUGUGGAAGCAUAGGAAGCUUUAGAAGUCUGAUUGCAAACCUAUCUCACAUCAUGAUUAGGUUCUGCUUUGCUGGACGCUGUCCUGCUACAGUACCUACAGCUAAUGCUGUUUGUAACUGUCCAACAUCAGUGACGAUUUUGUUUCUGCCGACAUGCAGCUGCAGACGCUGCUGCGAAGGUCACUGCCCAACAACCCCUCCCUCUCCUGAUCCUCGUUUCCUCUCCUGAUCCUUGUUCCCUCUCCAACUCUCUCUAUCCUUUCCUUCCUCAUCUCCCUGUGCUUUAAACAUUUUCUACCUCACAGGAACGCAGACUCUGGCUGACAAAUGGUUCCACCUGUAGCCAUGGAGUCUGGUUUGGGCCUGACGACAAACCGUGCCGCCCAAACACUUUUUCCCCACAAUUCAGAUUUCCCAACAGGUGAAAACAGUCGACAGGACCAUUACACCAUCCAACCAGGGCACUGGGCGAUUGUUAAGGAGUUCAGGAGGGAACACUGGAACUCCAAACGGUGGCGAGGCCCCUUCCACGUCCUUCUGACGACCCACACGGCUGAAAGAUCGCAGUGAGAGUGACUUGGAUCCACUCCAUCCACUGCAGGAAGGUCCCAGAUCCAACAGACGACCCUCCAUCCACAUCUCACGGAGAAAACCACCACUAAAGAAAAGAAUUGAGAAGGACGACCCUCGCUGUGCUCACACACGCACUGAGGCGAGGCUGCGUUGACCGUUCAGCUAAAGGUGUGAGCCAAGCGCCGCCUAAAGCUGCACCGAUGAAUCACACUAUCAGACUAUACAUCUACACACACGCUCCUGAGAAAACACACACACGAGCAGCCUUGAGUUGCCGACGCUGGACGACGUGUAGACUCUUCACAUCACGGGAGUGACAGUGACUCAGACGACAUUGGGAGGAAACCUGGCGGUGAUAACGAACCCCAAGUGUCUCUGUGAUCAGCUGAUCACAAUCUGAAGAACCCCAAUGAACUGGCAAUACAUCAACACACAGGUUGGAAACAAUCUAACGCUACUGUUCAACAGGAAGAAGCAGAUUGUUACGAGACAUCAAUUGUAAACAUGCUUUGUUAGACUUCAUUUUAUGUUACUUGGAUUGUUGCCUUUAUCAUAUGAUGUUUCUAUGUAACUUUACACACUACUUUUGAAUGAGAAAAUUUCACAUAAUUCACAACACUGAGUUUAAAUAUCCUAAAGUUGAUUUGGUGUUUAAUUUGCUCACAAUCACUUAUUCACUGCUACAAUUAGUUUUUAUCCUUCAUCUACAGAUGACAGAGGUUAUGAGACAAAACGCAUCAUCAUUCUGGUUAAAUCCCUGAAUCUCCUAUUCGCUCUAGACGCAAAUGUACAAUUAAAGAUCCGAAAGCAUGAAAUCUAUCUUAAGAUUAUAUGAAACAGAACCCCACCGGAAACCUAUGGCUAUCAUACAUUAAUUGUCUUUAUUACAUUACAAUUGAAUAGCCGUAGACACGUUGUUAGCAGAGAAAAGAGGCGUUUGUGUUAUGUUUGGAGAGGCAUGUUGUACUUACAUCCUGAAUAACACUGAUUCUAAUGGUAUUGUGGUGAAGGCGCUACACGGCCUUCAGAAUCUCAGCUAACUCUGGUAUAGGUUCUACCCCUUGGAAUUGGCUAGACGAAAUGUCUGGAAAAUGGAAAUCUGUUCUCAUGUCCACAGCUGUUUCCUUUAUAAUUGAGAUGGCUGUGAUUCUCUUGUUUGGUUUUUGCGUUAUCCCACUGGUUAGAGGUCUCAUCAUGCGUGCGACCUCAGCAACACUCUCGUAUCAAAUGACACAAUGCACUAUGUUCAAAAACCCCAACUCUAAUUCACUUAAUGACUUUGACGAUGGUCUUAGGCUAUCUGACCACAAAAUAUAAUAUGAUACAAAUAUGAUAAUGGGCUCAUUUUCUUCACAAAUUUUAUAUGGAGGUGUAUUUUGAAUCUUGAUGAGUUAAUAGCCUUAUUGUUUCAUCUGCAAGGAUCUUUUAUUAUUACAGAAUGUGAUGUUGACAAUUUUUAUUCCUUUAUGGUUUGAUUAUUAUGUAAUCAAAAGGGGGGAGUGUUAUGGGAAAAAUUGUCUCUUCCUUAUUUUUAUGUGUCUUCCUUAUUUCUAUGCAUUUCUAUGCAGUUAUUAUACGAGUUAUGACUUAUGUUCUGCAAGUAAUAUCCUAUGUUUUGUCUUACUGUAUGCAUUUGACAUUUCACCUAGAUUGUUCAAUGGUUGUCUCUGCCUGAUAGACUCUCAACUCUAGCUCCCAAACCCGAGGUCAGGGAGUUGUGUCUCUGUCUGUUGAGACUCUGUGCUCCUUUCUCACAGAUAGUUGGACGUCAGCGAUGCAGGUGUGAGAAUGUAAAUAUCUUCACACACACUGCGACAGGGAGGAGAUGGUGCGUGUAAUUUGAUUGGGUUAGAAAGACAUUCCACCCUAGUCGGACAGAGAAGCUAUAAGGCAGAAACAACUUGAGGAUCGUGGGCUCUUUGCAUCACACCUUCGUGGUGUGUGCACUGAUCUCCCCAGCUGGUUUUUGGUUUGUUGAUGUGCACGAUCAACAUCCAUGCUUUUUAUUUGCUUUCCCCAUUAUUUUUAUUUUCUUUAUUAUUUCAAUAAAUCGCACAAAAGGACAA